GGCGAGUUGGGGGGGGGUUUUGAUUUCAUUUUCCCCUGUGAAAGUUUUUUUCAUACUUUACUUUUUUGGGGUGCAAAGCCCCAAGGUUAUAAACCCAAACAACUUUUUUUUUUUUAUUACAGACAAUCAAGAAAUUUUCUAUUGAAAUAAAAUAUUUUAAAACUUUCAACAACGGAUCUCUUGGUUCUCGCAUCGAUGAAGAACGUAGCGAAUUGCGAUAAGUAAUGUGAAUUGCAGAUUCUCGUGAAUCAUUGAAUUUUUGAACGCACAUUGCGCCCUCUGGUAUUCCAGAGGGCAUGCCUGUUUGAGCGUCAUUUCCUUCUCAAAAACCCAGUUUUUGGUUGUGAGUGAUACUCUGCUUCAGGGUUAACUUGAAAAUGCUAUGCCCCUUUGGCUGCCCUUCUUUGAGGGGACUGCGCGUCUGUGCAGGAUGUAACCAAUGUAUUUAGGUAUUCAUACCAACUUUCAUUGUGCGCGUCUUAGGCAGUUGUAGUCCACCCAACCUCAGACACACAGGCUGGGUGGGCCAACAGUAUUCA
rnacentral:rRNA from 1 species